rnacentral:lncRNA from 1 species
AUUAGUUUUCUAUUUGCUCCUUUGUUGUACCAUUUCCAACAUUCGCGAGCGUGUUGUAUGAGAUAUACGAACUUCGAGCCGAAGGCGAGAAUUAGUAUACCUGAUACAACACGGCCGCGAAUGUUGCAAAUGGAUUCUAUUUGUUUUUUCAUGUAUUUUUCUAUUAUCUCGUACCAUUUACAACAUUCGCGAGCGUGUUGUAUCGAAUAUACGAACUUCGAGCCGAAGGCGAGAAUUAGUAUACCUGAUACAACACGGCCGCGAAUGUUGCAAAUGGAUUCUAUUUGCUUUUUCGUGUAUUUUUCUAUUAUCUCGUACCAUUUACAACAUUCGCGAGCGUGUUGUAUCGAAUAUACGAACUUCGAGCCGAAGGCGAGAGUUAGUAUACCUGAUACAACACGGCCGCGAAUGUUGCAAAUGGAUUCUAUUUGCUUUUUCGUGUAUUUUUCUAUUAUCUCGUACCAUUUACAACAUUCGCGAGCGUGUUGUAUCGAAUAUACGAACUUCGAGCCGAAGGCGAGAAUUAGUAUACCUGAUACAACACGGCCGCGAAUGUUGCAAAUGGGUUCUAUUUGAUUUUUCGUGUAUUUUUCUAUUAUCUCGUACCAUUCAAAAUAAAUGAAUAUUUUUAUCAUUCGCAUGAUUUUGUAUCCGAUAUAAAAACUCCUUCACGAUCAUUAUUUCUUUUGUGUUUUCUUCUUAAUGAAUGAUUGAGUUCAUAAACGCAAAUAUUAGAUUGAUUAUUCAUAUUCCAUGUAUUCGUUGAGCUAUGUUUCUAUAACUACCGUCUGCUCUCCAAUGUAUCUUAACGAACAUUGUGGCCCAAUAGAAUUGGGCGUCGACAACAACAAUUCUCGUCGAAGUUUCCGGAAAGUGUGGUGGCCGGAUCGGUGGUCUGUCAGGAUCGUUCAGUUGACGUUGAAUACCGUAGCCGUUACUGACUCGUAAAUAUCUUAAUGAACUUAUUUGAUUAAGAGCGCUGCACUGGAAUCGCAGGGCAAAUGGUCUGCAUCUUUCGCGGUUGCUCCUAAUUAGGUCUGAAGAAAUGUUUGAAAUUCAUAUUCAGAAAUUCCAUUUUAACAUUGUUUCAUAAAGCACUUGAAUUGAGCAUUUUUCAUUCAACUCAAUUUCAGGUCUUAAAGCUGGCAAAGAACUUGUGCCAUAUUCGCCUCAUUCUUCGCUCACAAUGCAAUCGCGAUGUCUCGCCUGUCUCGCACUACACAUCUGUUUCCUUAUAGUUCACGUCGGAAAUGCUCCGAUCCUGUUUACUUUAUAUGUGACCCUUGCAUUUACUAUUCUCUGGAGUCUCCGUGUAUAGAGGAUUUUGAAAGUACAUUGAAUGUUUGAAGACACAAAAUGUUUGCUGUCUUCAAUUUUGUAUCGCAAUGUGUGAAGCUCGCAGUCGGAAAUUGACGCGAAUAUUGACAAUAUUGAUUUGCAUAGAAAUAUAAUUCAUUAAACAAUGUGAUUAGCAUAACGUGCGCCAGUAGGCCAUGAUUUUCCAAGGAUUCCUUGUAUUUGCAUGUGUGUCUGUUCUUCAGCAACCAUGGAUCUGUAAAUAUUUGCUUCUAUCUGCAUUUUAUAAGCAUGGCAGAUUGAAGAUUAAAAAUUUAAUUUAUAAAUGUGUGCCUAUAAGCUUGUGUGUUCGUCUGCAUUUAUAGCAGCAUCAUAGAUGUAAUUUUAAAAAAUAAAAAGUACAAAAAAUAUAUAUAAAUUUAAAAAUAACCAAAAAAAAAGUUGUGUGUUUGUCUGCAAUUAGCAGCAUCAUAGAUGUAAUUUUAAAAAAUAAAAAGUACAAAAAAAAAUAUAAAAAUUUAAAAAUAACCAAAAAAAAAGUUGUGUGUUUGUCUGCAAUUAGCAGCAUCAUAGAUGUAAUUUAAAAAAUUUAAAAAGUACAAAAAAAUAUAUAAAAAUUUAAAACAUAAAAAAAAAUGUUGUUGUGUAUGUUUAUGUGCAUAAAUAUUGAUAUUCUGUUGUAUUACCAUGGCUGAAUGUUCCCUUUGAGUCGAAUUGCAAGGCCUAUAGGCACGAAUGUUUUUUUCUAGCAAAUCAUUUUCUUUAUUCUUCAGAGUCCAUUUCAACUGCUAUGCUUCACAUUAAAAUCUGCUUGCAUUCAAUUUUACUUUGACAUUUCACUUUGAUUUUGCCAAAAUAUCGGUUCAUUAUGAUUAAAGUUUAUAUGUAAAUCAAGGGAGAUCUCUAUCACAUAUAAAGAUACCACACGCUUAUGAUUUUUCUUUGUGUUUUCUUCAUGAAUUAUCGAGGUUUUGAAGAUCAUUGAAUUAGUCGAUAUAUAUUCAUAUUAAUUUUGGUUGCUAUCCAUUCAGACGAAAGUCUUCAUUGUAUUUUGCCGACGUCUACAGUCGUAUAAUGGUUUGAACACAUCAUGCAGAAAGUUCACUUAAAAAUGAACAUGAAUUCAAGUUUGCAAAGUAACAGUAUAUAAAAGCUAUAAAACGUACUUAGAUUGGAUUUUACGCGAAUCCUUCACCAUAUAUUUAUAAUGUAUAUUCAUAGAUAAUGUAAUAAUAUAUGCAAAUGUCAACGUGAUACAUUAAUUGUGAACGUGAUACAAUUUGCCGGAAGCAUUCACGACACGAAUGCAAGUGUCGACAUUCGGAAAAAGUUCGGCUUAUCGGCAACAUCGUAUACAUGAACAAAUAGUACAGAUAUUAAAUGUAAGAAUAUACACAUAAAUAUGAAAAUGCGAGAAAAUGCGCAUAUAUAUAUAUAUAUAGAUGAUUCUGCUGGCCACAGAAUGAUCUUGUACCACAUCUCAUAAGAAAUGAACUCGAGUCUCUCAGUGCAUGAUAGCAAAAUAAAUAAGAUUAUGUUUUUUAAAUUUUGAAAUUGAAGCUUUGUUUCGUAGUCCACCGCGUAUAUUUGUCGAAAGCUUAGCCAAAUGAAUAUACGCGGUGUUUCCGCAAAAUUAAAAAGUUUACUUGGAUUGGAAUUCUGACAUUAAUUCAUAAAUGUGAUAGUAUAUAAAAAAUAUAUUAAAUGAUACGUGAUAUAUGUUAAUUUGCGGUGGACGCCUUCACUAGCACGAAGACAAUUUGCCGUAGUCCUCCGUUCCAGCGAAGCAAUCGUCGACCUUCCGAAAAGUUCGUUUAACUUUCGGUAAUUAUAUCCUGUCCAUAAUUCCGUCGAUAUUCGUAUUAAUUUCGGUUGCCGCUCGUCCAGAAAAUAUUCGUUAAACCGUUGCAUCGUUCCGGCUGGCAAUAAAAUGUUUUUUUUUGGAAACGGUUUCCGGACGAAUAGCGGUUCAUGCAGAGAAUUCGUAUUAAUUUCGGUCGCCAUCCGUCCAGAACAUAUUCGUCAUAUUCUACAUGCGAUAGAUGAACCAGGCGGAAAUCGUAAUCUUAGGAUAAAUAUUAAUGCCCAGCAUAAAACACGUAAACGAGUCAUAACAAAAAUAUAAUUUAAAAUAUCUAUUUGAAAGCUAAUGAAUGAGGAGUUCGUCUGGAGAAGAGCAACAAGAAAUAAUCUUAAAAUCAU